UACGUAGGCAGCAAGCGUUGUUCGGAAUUACUGGGCGUAAAGGGCUCGUAGGCGGCCAACUAAGUCAGACGUGAAAUCCCUCGGCUUAACCGGGGAACUGCGUCUGAUACUGGAUGGCUUGAGUUUGGGAGAGGGAUGCGGAAUUCCAGGUGUAGCGGUGAAAUGCGUAGAUAUCUGGAAGAACACCGGUGGCGAAGGCGGCCUUCUGGACGGUGACUGACGCUGAGACGCGAAAGCGUGGGGAGCAAACAGG
rnacentral:rRNA from 1 species